GUAUCCUGGCUCAGGACGAACGCUGGCGGCGCGCCUAACACAUGCAAGUCGAACGAGCGAGAGAGAGCUUGCUUUCUCAAGCGAGUGGCGAACGGGUGAGUAACGCGUGAGGAACCUGCCUCAAAGAGGGGGACAACAGUUGGAAACGACUGCUAAUACCGCAUAAGCCCACGACCCGGCAUCGGGUAGAGGGAAAAGGAGCAAUCCGCUUUGAGAUGGCCUCGCGUCCGAUUAGCUAGUUGUG
rnacentral:rRNA from 1 species